rnacentral:tRNA from 1 species
GGGGUUGUAGCUCAGUGGUAGAGCACUCACCUCGCACCUGUGAAGUACUGGUUUGAUCCUCAGCACCA